rnacentral:rRNA from 1 species
AUUGAACGCUGGCGGCAGGCUUAACACAUGCAAGUCGAGCGGGCGAGGUUGCUUCGGUAACUGAGCUAGCGGCGGACGGGUGAGUAAUGCUUAGGAAUCUGCCUACGAGUGGGGGACAACAUUCCGAAAGGAAUGCUAAUACCGCAUACGCCCUACGGGGGAAAGCAGGGGAUCUUCGGACCUUGCGCUAAUAGAUGAGCCUAAGUCAGAUUAGCUAGUUGGUGGGGUAAAGGCCUACCAAGGCGACGAUCUGUAGCGGGUCUGAGAGGAUGAUCCGCCACACUGGGACGGAGACACGGCCCAGACUCCUACGAGAGGCAGCAGUGGGGAAUAUUGGACAAUGGGCGCAAGCCUGAUCCAGCCAUGCCGCGUGUGUGAAGAAGGCCUUUUGGUUGUAAAGCACUUUAAGCGAGGAGGAGGCUACUUGGAUUAAUACUCUAGGAUAGUGGACGUUACUCGCAGAAUAAGCACCGGCUAACUCUGUGCCAGCCGCCGCAGUAACAC